rnacentral:rRNA from 1 species
GACGGACGCUGGCGGCGGGCUUAACACAUGCAAGUCGAACGAUGACGACCGAGCUUGCUCGGUCUGAUUAGUGGCGAACGGGUGAGUAACACGUGAGCAACCUGCCCUUCACUCUGGGAUAACCUCGGGAAAUCGGGGCUAAUACCGGAUAUGAGCUCCUGUCGCAUGGCGGGUGUUGGAAAGUUUUUCGGUGAAGGAUGGGCUCGCGGCCUAUCAGUUUGUUGGUGGGGUAGUGGCUCACCAAGGCGAUGACGGGUAGCCGGCCUGAGAGGGCGACCGGCCACACUGGGACUGAGACACGGCCCAGACUCCUACGGGAGGCAGCAGUGGGGAAUAUUGCACAAUGGGCGAAAGCCUGAUGCAGCGACGCCGCGUGAGGGAUGACGGCCUUCGGGUUGUAAACCUCUUUCAGCAGGGAAGAAGCGAAAGUGACGGUACCUGCAGAAGAAGCGCCGGCUAACUACGUG